rnacentral:tRNA from 1 species
GGUAGAGUGGCCGAGCGGUCUAAAGCGCUGGUUUUAGGCACCAGUCUCUUCGGAGGCGUGGGUUCGAAUCCCACCUCUGCCA